UACGUAGGGGGCGAGCGUUGUCCGGAAUUAUUGGGCGUAAAGAGCGUGUAGGCGGUUCGGUAAGUCUGCCGUGAAAACCUGGGGCUCAACCCCGGGCGUGCGGUGGAUACUGCCGGGCUAGAGGGUGGUAGAGGCGAGUGGAAUUCCCGGUGUAGCGGUGAAAUGCGCAGAUAUCAGGAGGAACACCGGUGGCGAAGGCGGGUCUCUGGGCCGUAACUGACGCUGAGGAGCGAAAGCGUGGGGAGCGAACAGG
rnacentral:rRNA from 1 species